rnacentral:rRNA from 1 species
GAAAUGCGUAGUCGAUGGGAAACAGGUUAAUAUUCCUGUACUUGGUGUUACUGCGAAGGGGGGACGGAGAAGGCUAUGUUAGCCGGGCGACGGUUGUCCCGGUUUAAGCAUGUAGGCGGAGGUUCCAGGUAAAUCCGGUACCUUUUAACGCUGAGGUGUGAUGACGAGGCACUACGGUGCUGAAGUAACAAAUGCCCUGCUUCCAGGAAAAGCCUCUAAGCAUCAGGUAACAUUGAAUCGUACCCCAAACCGACACAGGUGGGCAGGUUGAAUAUACCAAGGCGCUUGAGAGAAUGGUGUUGAAGGAACUCGGCAAAUUGCCCCCGUAACUUCGGGAGAAGGGGGCCCACCAUGAAGGCAACUUUGUGGUGGGGGCACAGACUAGGGGGUGGCGACUGUUUACUUAAAACACAGGGCUGUGCGAAGCCGUAAGGCGACGUAUACAGUCUGACGCCUGCCCGGUGCCGGAAGGCUAAAAGGAGGUGUGCAAGCACCGAAUUGAAGCCCCGGUAAACGGCGGCCGU